GUCUACGGCCAUAUCACGUUGAAAUCACCGGUUCUCGUCCGAUCACCAAAGUUAAGCAACGUCGAGCCCGGUUAGUACUUGGAUGGGUGACCACCUGGGAAUACCGGGUGCUGUAGGCU
rfam:Helobdella robusta unplaced genomic scaffold HELROscaffold_93, whole genome shotgun sequence.